AAGUCGUAACAAGGUUUCCGUAGGUGAACCUGCGGAAGGAUCAUUAACACGUAUCCACGUAUCAACACUCCGUGAACUCCACUCUCCCUGGCUGAGAAAAGUUGUGGGCAUAGUUAGUGAUAGGUGUGCUGCCUCAACCGCAGCACGCGGCUAUGUCAACUCGAGUCUCGAACUCAAGGCUUUCUCCUGUCGGGCAUUUUCCCUAUCACUCUUUUUUUUUUCACAAACAACUUUCACCUAAACACAUCUUGACUGAUAUUCUUAUGUAAGCGAAAGCUGGCAUGAGCAAGUUUAUCUAAACUAAGCACAACUCUUAGCAAUGGAUAUCUUGGUUCUC
rnacentral:misc_RNA from 1 species